rnacentral:rRNA from 1 species
ACUCCUACGGGAGGCAGCAGUGGGGAAUUUUGCGCAAUGGACGAAAGUCUGACGCAGCGACGCCGCGUGAGGGAUGAAGGUCUUCGUGAUCGUAAACCUCUGUCGGGAAGGAUUAAUGUAUUUUGGUUAAUACCCAAGGUGCUUGACUUAACUUCCAAAGGAAGCCCCGGCUAACUACGUGCCAGCAGCCGCGGUAAUACGUAGGGGGCAAGCGCUACUCGGAUUUACUGGGCGUAAAGCGAGCGUAGGCGGUCUGAUAAGUCAGGGGUGAAAUCCCUCAGCUCAACUGAGGAACUGCCCUUGAUACUGUUAGACUAGAGGACAGGAGAGGAAAGUGGAAUUCCCGGUGUAGCGGUGGAAUGCGUAGAUAUCGGGAGGAACACCAGAGGCGAAGGCGACUUUCUGGACUGAUCCUGACGCUGAGGUUCGAAAGCUAGGGGAGCAAACAGGAUUAGAUACCCUGGUAGUC